rnacentral:lncRNA from 1 species
AGAGCGCCGGCUGCAAAUUGAAAUCGCUGCUCAGGAAAGAAACCAGGCGGGAGAGAGAAAGGAGAAAGAGCCGGCAUCUUUUUAAUCAACGCUCAGAGCUGCAGCCGCUAAUGAAGCCGAGGUUCUCGGGAACCCCAGGGCAAGGCCGGCGGCGAGCUGCCCAGACGCCCCUCCCCGCGCCCCGCCCGCGCCGCCCUCGCCGAUGGGAGGGCGCCCCCGACCCUGCGCCCCGAGCGCUCCAGGUCCGCGGUCCCGCCGCGCCCGUUAGAGAACGAAGGGUCGCCCGAGGCCACGGCCAGGGCGGGGGCCUUGUCACUGGCCCCUCCGCCCGGGCUCCUCGGUCGGGGCCCGUCUCAGCCUCGAUUUAGGAGGAGCUUCUCUCAGAAGAGGAGCGAACGGCCCGCCUCCCGGUCCUUUGUCUGAGCAGCCCUCCUGCGCACCCGGAGGUGCCGGUCUUCACCGCCGAGGGCGGCCUCCUCGGUGCCAGCCGCGGACAGGGCAGCGCCGGAACGCUCACCGCGCGCUCACGGAGCCUGGUGCCGCGAUUAUCCCCAUUGUACAGACCAGAAAACCGAUCUGCCAACGCUGGGAGGGCGGGACACUGCCUCUUGGCCUCCCAGUUCUCCCCCCAGGGGCCCCACGGUGGCUGCGGCUCGAGGUCCUGGUUAGGGCCGCGGCUUCCCAGGGAUCUGAGGCUCCUGGAUGCCGCCCCUGGCCCCACAAGCCUCAGCGCCGCCCCCCGCUCCCCCAUCACCUGCUGCACCUGUCCCCUGUUACACCUCAGCUUUGGAUUCAGAUCUUAAGUGAAGGUGGGGUUCCUUUGUUUUCAACGUGUGAAGCCACCGGCCUAUGGCAGUUGGGACUUAGGCUGCGUUUGUUCCUGUGUGAUUGUAAGCAAGUUGCUGGCAGUCUCUGGGCUUAGAAGGCAAUGUGUGGCAUGACCCCAAUACCAGCCCCUUGCCCCCGUUAGGUCUUUCCUAUGCCUCACUUACCCUUCUCGACAGAUGAGUUAACUGAGACCCAGAGAGGUUAACUAACUUGCCCAAGGUCACCCAGCAAACCAAUGACAGCACAGGUGCUGGAGCACGUGUCUCUGCACCAACAUGCCGCUGUGCCCUGCAAAACCCGAGAAGCCCCUCGUCUUCCACUUGUUCUCUUUGCCACUCAAGGAGCCGCCAGAUGGAGAAGCAAAAUGAAAAGUUGGUCUGAGAAGGAACAGGGUAAAUGAUUCUAGUUAAGGAAUUCAUGGCCUGGGAAACAUAUUCCCAGAGCAGCUCAUUUCAAAAGUUCUGCUGUUAAGAGCUCUGUGGGGUGGAAACGGCUCAGGCCGAUAAGAACUGAGGUGCAAGGCCAUGCCCACGGAGGGAAAAUGGGCCUCAUUUUCUUCUCCAUCCUGGCUGCCUGGCUGAUGUGUCUUGAUCUGCCUUCCCACACGGCGCUGUCUCCCACCACACACACGCUCGUGCACACACACACACACACACACACGCACGACUAUAGCCUUGGCAGGCCCUGGGCACCCGAGCUGGGGCUGACCACAACCCUGAAGCUCCAGGAUUCAGGGGAAACCCCAGCGUAAAUCAGAGCGGGUGGGACUGUAAAGAAAGAGAGCUCCUGGCCCGGAGGGAUGGCAGCAAAGCCCUGGAAGUCACUGUCCAAGAUGACAGCCACUGGCCACAUUUGAAUUAAAAUUAAUGUAAUUCAAUAAAUUUGAGCCAAAUUUAAAUUUACUUCAAUUCACUAAAGUCGAAUGUCCGGUUCCUCUGUUGUACUAGCCACAUAUCAAGCGCUCAGCAGCCACACAUUAUAAACCCAGGCUGAGUCAGAGCGCUGUGUCCCGCCCAGCCAUCUGGUACAGACAGAACAUCAGAAAGUUCUAUUGGAGAGCCUGUCUCCUAGAGACAUGGGUUUUCCUCUGCAGGGUCUGCUGCUCUCUUCUCUCUCAGUUGGAUCCUUCUGUCUGCUCCUCUGGCAUGGGCUAGCCUGAUGGAGAACGAGACACACGUAAAGCAGAGACAAGUCACCGAGUCACCCCAGCCAUCAGCCAGCUCAUCCCAGACACAGGAGCGGGCCCAGCCGAAGCCUGCAAAGCUAUGAGACCUGUGACCUCCCAGCUGACUCCAGAUGCAUGAGAAAUAAAUGCUCAUCGUUGCGUGCCACUGAGAUUUGAGGGUUGUUCUUUACACAGCAUUAUUGUAGCAAUAGAUAACUGAUACACUCCUGUUCUCUCCAUCUUGAAGAUGCAAAAACUGAGGCUAGGAGAUGUUCAGUAAUUUGCUGAAGGUUUGACAGCUUAUAAACGGCAGAGCCUGGAUUUGCCCCUAGAUCUCUCUAACCACUGCACUCGCCACUAGAACAUAAACUCCGUGAGAACCAAAGUUUUUGUCUGCAGAUCUGACAACUGUUCAAUCUCUCAACUAUAAUGGUGCC